AAGUGGAGCAAUCCAUGAGUAAAGUGGCGACCGGGUGAGUAACACGUGACUAACCUACCUUUCAGUGGGGAAUAACCUCGGGAAACCGGGGCUAAUACCGCAUAAUGUCUUCGGACCAAAGGAGCAAUUCGCUGGAAGAGGGGGUCGCGGCCGAUUAGCUAGUUGGCGGGGUAACGGCCCACCAAGGCAAUGAUCGGUAGCCGGCCUGAGAGGGCGCACGGCCACACUGGAACUGAAACACGGUCCAGGCUCCUACGGGAGGCAGCAGUGGGGAAUUUUGCGCAAUGGGGGAAACCCUGACGCAGCAACGCCGCGUGGAGGAUGAAGCCCCUUGGG
rnacentral:rRNA from 1 species